AUUGAACGCUGGCGGCAUGCCUUACACAUGCAAGUCGAACGGCAGCACGGGAGCAAUCCUGGUGGCGAGUGGCGAACGGGUGAGUAAUAUAUCGGAACGUGCCUAGUCGUGGGGAUAACGUAGCGAAAGCUACGCUAAUACCGCAUACGAUCUAUGGAUGAAAGCGGGGGAUCGCAAGACCUCGCGCGAUUGGAGCGGCCGAUAUCAGAUUAGGUAGUUGGUGAGGUAAAGGCUCACCAAGCCGACGAUCUGUAGCUGGUCUGAGAGGACGACCAGCCACACUGGGACUGAGACACGGCCCAGACUCCUACGGGAGGCAGCAGUGGGGAAUUUUUGGACAAUGGGCGCAAGCCUGAUCCAGCAAUGCCGCGUGCAGGAUGAAGGCCUUCGGUUGG
rnacentral:rRNA from 1 species